rnacentral:rRNA from 1 species
GAUGAACGCUGGCGGCGUGCCUAAUACAUGCAAGUCGAACGAGGUGCUUUUGUAGCAAUACGAGAGUAUCCUAGUGGCGAACGGGUGAGUAACGCGUUGGUGACCUACCCCAAAGUGUGGGAUAACAGUCCGAAAGGAUUGCUAAUACCGCAUGUGGACUUCGGAUUUAGAAACUGAUGACUAAAGGAGCAAUUCGCUUUGGGAGGGACCUGUGUCCCAUCAGCUAGUUGGAGAGGUAAUGGCUCACCAAGGCUACGACGGGUAGGGGACCUGAGAGGGUGACCCCCCACAAUGGAACUGAAACACGGUCCAUACACCUACGGGUGGCAGCAGUAGGGAAUAUUGCACAAUGGGCGAAAGCCUGAUGCAGCAACGCCGCGUGUGCGAUGAAGGCCUUCGGGUCGUAAAGCACUUUUCUGAGGGAUGAGCAAGGACAGUACCUCAGGAAUAAGUCUCGGCUAACUACGUGCCAGCCGCCGCGGUAAGAC